GGGCUUGUGGUUUAGUGGUAUAAUACUCCCUUAGCAUCUCUGGUUCAUCUGGAAUACGACUGGGAGUGGUCCGGGGUUCGAUUCCCCGCGAGUCCA